rnacentral:lncRNA from 10 species
CCUAGGGGACCGGCAGGAGCGAUGAGGUCCCCAGAAUUCAGCACUGUGCCGAGCUGGCCGGGCCACCCCUCUGGUCAAAUGGCUCAGGGCAGCGGGCUCCCUGGGACUGCUCAACAUGGGCGCCCCCGGCUGAUCCAUGGCUCAUGGGCUGCUGGGGAAGACGGGGCCAGAGCUCCUCUGUCUCCCCUGCUUUGAUGCCCCUCCUUGUCCGGGGCCAUCUUGAGGACCUCAGUGAUCCCCCAUAGACCCUGGCCACAGUCACACCUGGCCCCCACCCAGUGGACCCAGCGUCAUCGGAAACAAAAGCCAAGAAUGCUGAGGGGCCCCCGGGGCCAGUGACAGCGGCUGGCCGGGCGCCAGCAAUCACCAUAGGCGAGUCGGGGAGCUGGCGGGUGGCCAGGAAGUGUCCCUACGGCUGCCUGGUGGGCAUGUGGGCGGCCGGGCGGGCGGGCAGCCCAGGGAAAAGGCCCCUUCCGGGGGAGCCCACGGGGAAGCAAGGUCACCCUCAGACCCCAGCCCGUCUGUGCACGUGUGAGCGUGGGGGCGGGGGGCAGAGGGAGCCCCACUCAGAGGUGGGGAAACGGAGGCUCAGCGGGGAGUAGCGACUGCAUGUGAUACUCACAGUGGCCCCUGUGCUCCCCGGGGACACGGACACAGCCGUCCCCACGUCCUGCGUCCAGCCCAGGCCUGGCACAGGGAGGAGGGAAGGGCCAGGCACUGUGGGAACUCUGUGUUGUGAAGCUGCCCAUGGCCUCGGGUUCAGGUGGAUGCUGCCCCGUUGUAUCCACGUGGAGAUGGGCCCCAGCGAUGCUCCAGGGCGGGAACCUGACUCUGGGCUCAGACUGCUCCUGACUUCUGAGCUUCCCACCUGUCCGGGCGAGGCCUGCAUGGGCCGGUGGAGGUCAGGAGAGGCAGAGCUUGGCUGACUGGGCCCCCGAGGACACACGGGGGACAGGGUGGAUGCUGACCUGGGCCCGCGUCUUGCCCAGGCUGGGCCAGUGGAGAAGGCCCUGGUGGAGGCGUCCACCCCUCCUGGGUCCCCAGGGCACCGUCCCAUCUGCAGCCCAACGGACAUGCUGUUCUGCCCCAGCACAGGGGCUGUAACCUCGGUGCUCGGACGGACUCAGGACAGACGCCGGCGCUCCGAUGCAGUCAGGACAGACGCCAGCGCUCGGACGGACUCAGGACAGACGCCGGCGCUCGGACGGACUCAGGACAGACGCGGGCGCUCGGACCGACUCAGGACAGACGCGGGCGCUCGGACGGACUCCGGACAGACGCGGGCGCUCGAAGGACUCCGGACAGACGCCGGCGCUCGGAUGGACUCUGGAUAGACGCCGGCGCUCGGACGGACUCAGGAUAGACGCCGGCAGACCCACACCUCACUGAGGGCCAGAGCCUGAGGAGCCCUUGCCUCCGGGGCGUGUAGAUGCAAGACAAGCAUCGUUUUACUCCAGGGAAGAGCAAUGCUGCCCAGGAGGGCCCGUCCACCUGUGGGGCCUGGAGAUGCAGGACAAGCAUCAUUUGACUCCAGGGAACAGCAAUGCCGGCCGGGAGUGCCCAUCCAUGGGAAGAUGCUGGAGAAUCGACGUGGUUCCUGGUCCUGCUGCUGGGUCAGGACCUCAGAGGCCCCUGGAGUAUGUGCCUAGCCCACCCGCCCCCAGGCCCUCGCCUUCCAUAACCAACUCAAAAUGAAAACAGACCAAACCAUACAAUAAAAACGUGCAAUUUUAACAGUGGGGGAGCCUAACGUGGGCGGAAGGCGCGGGCUGCCCGGGGUUGGAUUCCGGGCCUUUCCUUACCAGCUGCACGACCUUGGGGACGCUGCGUACAUCUCCCUGUCCUCGAUUUCUCUUAUCUGUGAAAUGGGGAGAUCACAGAACCUCUUUCAAGGUCCCUGUGAGUGUGUUCAUAGAUACAAACCCUUAGAACGAUGUCUGGCAUUAGACACAGUGAUCAACAAUCAGGUGUUAUCAUUGAACGUGACACACGGAGCCCGUGUCUGCUGGAAUGAAAGCAGGUUCCUUCCGGGUUUGGGCUGCUCCUGAGUUCGCUUUGUGCCUGUGGGUCUGGACAGUCCAGGCCUCUGGGGCCUUUCCCCAGGGCUCCAGCCAGACAAUGGUGGACACGGCGCAGGGGCAGAGGGUGCUGGCCGG